rnacentral:lncRNA from 1 species
GGGUAUACACGUUUCUCCUGUCUUCAGUCUCUGGGGAGAAGGUUGUUUGUAAAGCAAAAGGGCAUUCCGUUCUCGAUGCCAAAAUGCCCAAGUGGCUUGGUUCCUGCCCAUAGAACCAAUGCCAUGGGCGAGGCUUGGAAAAACCAGUUCCUUUCGCAUUAACUGAGGACCGCCUGCUUUGUCCCUCCCCUGAACCUCAGGGAAGAAAGCAGACGGAUCCCUCGUCAUUCCAGUCAUGACACGGCUAAUUUUUGUUCUGAGUCACGGGUAACGUUCACAGGAACAGUGUCACUCCUGGUGGAUGCGCUGCCCUCUGCACGGUACCAAAUAACACUGGCAAUGGAAGCGUCGUCGUCCGCUCUCAGCGCCUCUGCCAGUGAGUCGUGUGUGUUUACUCAGUAAGUAGGUGAUGGGCUUUCUGCGAUGAGGCAUCAUGGAUGGAGUCUGUCCACAUGAAUUAAGAUGAAGCCAGUAUCAUCUGACUGUAGCUGGUUAGGGGUUGGAGAUGCUCACACAUGUUUAAACUGUAAGAAAUUUUUAGUUUCAUUUUAUCACUGGAAGAGAACUUAAGUGCAAAUAAGCCAUCACCAUGGUGCUAGUAAAAUUUUUUCUUGUUAAGUUUGGUUGGUUGGUUGGUUGGUUUUCCUUUUUGGCUAGUUUUAUUGGUUGGUUGGUUGGUUGGUUGGUUUGGUUCUUGGCUACACUCGUAGCCAUGUAGAAGUUCCCUGGCCAGUGAUCGAACCCACACCACGGUUGCAGCCUGUGCCAGAGCUGCAGCAAUGCCAGAUCCUUAACCCGCUGUGCCACCCGGGAACUUGUCUUGGCUGGUUGGUUUAAUGUAUAUAAUAAUCCCAGUUGAUGAACACAUCUCUAAGUAAAUGAGUUUUAUAUACCACAUGCCUGAGAUCAUUCUCAAGACUUAUUUCUUCCCCGAGUUUUUCCCUGACAGUAGCAGUUAGUGACAGUGUGACCCAGUCAUCUUAAUUGCUAUAAGUUUGCACAGCUCUUCUGCAUCGCUCUUGGCUAAUGAAUUAGAUUCUUACGUGGCUGACAUAGCGUGUCCAUGACAAGGUGACAGUGUAGAGAAGGACAGGAAGGAGAGGGAAGAAUGAAGAGGGACGUAAACUUUUGUCAGCACGCUAAGACACACGAACGUAACAUCCCAGCCUUUGUCCCAGGAAAAUGGGCCCAGUGAUGAGAACAUACAGAGCACCUCUGGGUCAUUUGCCCUAAUAUUAUGAUUUGUAAUCCUCGACUAUUAAAAAAAAUCGAUGGCAGAAAGUGAGGUGUGAGUGACGUUCUGAAGCGUCACAGCAAAGAGGCUUUUUGUCAAUCUUACAGUCAGACCUCCAGCCCAGUCCACUGGGCGGUUCUAGAAAACAGCUAAGUUACCUUUGACACCUAGAGUUGUAAGCUCCACAUAUGGAUGAAAAUGUGUUGAAGAAAUCUUGUUGCUUCACUCUUGGGGCUCCCUGACUCCCAUCACGGUGUUACCCACAAACUUUGCAUUUGAAACACAGUGAAGCAGUGGCUCUCCUUGGUGGCAAGGGAUACGUUGACAGCUUAGCUGUUCCUCUGGGAGACCUGUCCCCUGCAGGUCCCUAGAGGAUAUGUUGUUAGCAAGUGAAAAGCUCUUCAAAGAAUCACAUAUCCACAGAAAUCUGCCCCAUGGAAUAGUGUCACAGCCCAGAACACCCUCACUGGAGUUUUUGGAAGACAGACCCCCCCAAAUUCCAGAAGGCGUGGUCAGGGCUGGGCGUCUGCAGGGUGUGCCGGUGUAGGCUCAUGAUUUCCAAAGGCCGGGCGAGCCAAAGCCAAGACCCGGGCUCUGUUUCUCUCUCGUGGGUUAUGAAUGGAAGCCAGAGCAAGAGGCGUGGUUCACGUGGAGAACCACCAGGUGGCAGUGUGGAGAACGAGAGAGCGUUUCUGUCUCCUGGGAGAGGGAUGCUGGUUUAAACUGUUCUCGUCUGUAAAGGACUUUCUUUAACCUGUAAGCUCAGUGAUGAGGAAGGAAAAGGCAAAACACCUGCUUACUUCCAAUGGCGGAUCUAGCCUUUUCAAGCUUGUAGUACUGUGAUUUGGUAAUGUUUCUGAAGCUACCUGAAACCCAUUUAUUUAUAAACUGUAUUUUCAGGAGAGAUUGAAAUAAUUGUUGAAUUAUACGGCAUGAGAAGGAGAAAGAGGCAGGGAGAUCUUAGUAAAAAUUAAAUAUUAAGUUGGAACGGGACCAGGGAGAGCAUCAGAAGAUAAGAAAGGUACAGUGGAUGUUUUAACCAAAUGCUAGCCUAACCCAUUCAUCAAAGGAAAGAACAUGAGUUCUUUUUUCUUAUUUUUUCUUUUUUUCUGCUAUUUUAGGGCCACACCCGCAGCAUAUGGAGGUUCCCAGGCCAGAGGGUUGAAUCUGAGCCACAGCUGGGACCUAUACCACUGCUCCAGGUCAGGAAUUGAACCCACACCUCUGCAGCGACCUGAGCUGCUGCAGUUGGAUUCUUAUCCCACUGCACCACAGUGGGAACUCCCUAGUACUGUUUCUGUUACCUCAUUUCUUAACCUUAUUUUCAAGUUAACUCCUUCAGUUUCAUUAUCUGUAAAAUGGCAAUAAUAACCCAUCCUUUAGAAAGGCAUUGUGAAGAUUAAAGAUAAUAACUAGAAAAGUGCAUAGACUAUUUCAGGUACUCCAAAAAUGGUAACUGCUUUCUUGGCAUCCCACUAAUAUGAUCAUAAAAUUCUGCAAACUCUUCCUCUUUAGUAGAGCUUCAAAAUUAAUAAAAGGAAUGACGGAAACAUAAUUUAAUAGCAUAAAGCUUGUUAAUAAUAACAGAAUUAAACUACUUUAUUUUUUUUGCCUUUUUUUUUAGGGCCGCACCUGUGGCAUAUGAAGAUUCCCAGGCUAGGGGUCGAAGCAGAGCUACAGCUGCCGGCCUACACCACAGUCAUAGCAAUGCAGGAUCCAAGCCACAUCUGUGAGCUACACCACAGCUCACGGCAACACCAGAUCCUUAACCUACAGAUCAAGGCCAGGGAUUGAACCCACAACCUCAUGGUUGCUAGUCGGAUUCAUUUCUGCUGCACCACAGCAGGAACUUCUAAACUGCUUUAAAAAAACACAGUGUUUUGGACCCAGUAUAACAGCCAUCAGCCACACAUGAUAAUUUAAAUUUAACCUAAAAUCAAAAGUUAAAAGUUGGUUCUUCAAGAAUCCUGCUGUGGUGCAACGGGAUCAGCAGCAUCUUUGGAGCAUUGGGAUGCAGUUCCAGCCCUCAUUCCGGCACAGUGGGUUAAGGAUCUGGCAUUACCACAGUUACGGCUUCAGUCAACGCUGGCUCAGAUCUGUUCCCUGGCUCCAGGAACUCCAUAUGCUGUAGGGCAGCCAAAAAGGAAAAAAAAAAAAA